rnacentral:rRNA from 1 species
GAUGAACGCUGGCGGCGUGCCUAAUACAUGCAAGUCGAGCGAACGGACGAGAAGCUUGCUUCUCUGAUGUUAGCGGCGGACGGGUGAGUAACAUGUGGAUAACCUACCUAUAAGACUGGGAUCACUUCGGGAAACCGGAGCUAAUACCGGAUAAUAUUCUGAACCGCAUGGUUCAAAAGUGAAAGACGGUCUUGCUGUCACUUAUAGAUGGAUCUGCGCUGCAUUAGCUAGUUGGUAAGGUAACGGCUUACCAAGGCAACGAUGCAUAGCCGACGGGAGAGGGGGAUCGGCCGCACUGGAGCUGGGACACGGUCAAGGCUCCUGCGAGAGGCAGCAGUAGGGAAUCGUCCGCAGUAGGGGGAAGCAUGACGGAGCAACGGCACGUGAGUGAUGGAGGUCUUGGGAUCGUAAUACUCUGUUAUGAGGGAAGAACAGAUGUGGAAGUAACUGUACACAUCUUGACGGUAACUGGUCAGGAAGCCACGGCUAACUACGUG